UAACUAAGCCCCGUUUUUGUUUUCCCGA
rnacentral:piRNA from 2 species